rnacentral:rRNA from 1 species
UACGUAGGGAGCGAGCGUUAUCCGGAUUUAUUGGGUGUAAAGCGUGUGUAGGCGGUUUCUUAAGUCUAUGGUCCAAGCCCGGAGCUUAACUCCGGUUCGCCAUAGAAACUGAGUUACUUGAGUAUGGUAGAGGCAAGCGGAAUUUCUAGUGUAGCGGUGGAAUGCGUAGAUAUUAGAAGGAACACCAGUGGCGAAGGCGGCUUGCUGGGCCAUUACUGACGCUGAGACACGAAAGCGUGGGGAGCAAAUAGG